rnacentral:rRNA from 1 species
GAUGAACGCUGGCGGCGUGCCUAAUACAUGCAAGUCGAGCGAACAGACGAGGAGCUUGCUCCUCUGACGUUAGCGGCGGACGGGUGAGUAACACGUGGAUCACCUACCUAUAAGACUGGGGUAACUUCGGGAAACCGGAGCUAAUACCGGAUAAUAUAUUGAACCGCAUGGUUCAAUAGUGAAAGACGGUUUUGCUGUCACUUAUAGAUGGAUCCGCGCCGCAUUAGCUAGUUGGUAAGGUAACGGCUUACCAAGGCAACGAUGCGUAGCCGACCUGAGAGGGUGAUCGGCCACACUGGAACUGAGACACGGUCCAGACUCCUACGGGAGGCAGCAGUAGGGAAUCUUCCGCAAUGGGCGAAAGCCUGACGGAGCAACGCCGCGUGAGUGAUGAAGGUCUUCGGAUCGUAAAACUCUGUUAUUAGGGAAGAACAAAUGUGUAAGUAACUAUGCACGUCUUGACGGUACCUAAUCAGAAAGCCACGGCUAACUACGUG